AAUUUAAUUUUUAAUUUUUCCAAUAAUCCCUAUACAAAACUGGCAUAACUACAGAAAGAGCUCUCAACACAGCGGCACAGAGAGACACAACAGUACAAGCCUCUGAACAAUAAAUACAGAGUCUCUGUAUCCAGCGCUGCAGUCCUGCCCUUCAAUAUAACUACUGCUCCUUAUACAGGCAAUGCAACCCCUAUUUUCUCACUUUGAGUAUCACCUAAGACCCCAGAGUGUCUAGAGCCGCCACUGAGUAUACCUACAAAAUGUCAGCUGACAAAAGGUUGAUAGCUGAUCUAAAUGGCAGGGUUUACCAGGAAUAUAACAUUUUUAAAUAUAUAUAGUUUAUGUGUAUUAGUAGGGGACUGAAGGCAUUUUUAGGAAUGCAUUUUAAAGAAAAGCUGUCAACUUUCAUAGAAAUUACAAUUCCUUUUUCCUUCACCCCAGUAAACGUUAAUUCAACCUUUACUGGGGUGAAUAAUGCAGCUAAGUAAAUGAACUAAAUUAUCUCCGCCAAAUUGGUUACACAUUUGCACCUGAGAAAUUCAGUACAAGAGCAUGCAUUUUCAAAAAUUUUCUCGAGAUGUGCUAUACAUGCGCCAUGCAUUUCACAUUGCAAACAUUGAGCGACUUACAUACUUUGCUGGUCCUAGACCAAUGAAUGAGUGACAAAUUGGCAUCCAGGGAAGUUCAGUGCCCAGCAGGACGCAGGUCUAACGGUUUGCCCUAUAACAGAUUGAUUGUACUGGAGAACUCCUAGCUUCAAUGCUAUUGUGGCGAGCUGUAGUGCUUAAGAUGAGUGGAGUAGCCCUUUGUAAUGAUGAUUAAAGGAACACUGAAUUUAAUUUUAACAAUUUAGUAGAUAUCCUCAUAGAAAACAUGCAUGUCUUUUUUCCAUCCAGGUUUUCAAAAUCAGACAUGCGGUUUGCUGCCUUUGCAAGCCCUACUCUCAUUCCCCAGCACAGACCUUCACUCCAAUAAUCUCUCUAGCCCUUGACACCCUCUGUUCCUGUGUGUCCAGCUCGUCUUGCUGCAAAUAAAAAAAAUGUAUGCUAGUUCACCUAUUGUAAAGCGCUAUAGAAUUUGUUGAUGCUUUACAUAUAACAAUAAUAGGCUGCUCAUCGAGAAGGUUCUGUGUUGGAGCAUGAGAUUGCAGCUUUCCUAUGCUUCUCUAUAAGCCGCCAUACAGAUCAUUGAGAAUGGGGGAAGGCCGACGAGUGCUAUCCUAGACCGCAUACCAUCUCUGUUAGCUUCAUAUAGAAAUCAG